rnacentral:rRNA from 1 species
UACAGAGGGUGCGAGCGUUAAUCGGAAUUACUGGGCGUAAAGCGCGCGUAGGCGGCUUUUCAAGUCGGAUGUGAAAUCCCCGGGCUUAACCUGGGAACUGCAUUCGAGACUGUCUAGCUAGAGUAUGGGGGGAGGGAAGUGGAAUUCCGAGUGUAGAGGUGAAAUUCGUAGAUAUUCGGAAGAACACCAGUGGCGAAGGCGGCUCACUGGA